rnacentral:misc_RNA from 1 species
GAUGAAGAACGUAGCGAAAUGCGAUACUUGGUGUGAAUUGCAGAAUCCCGUGAACCAUCGAGUCUUUGAACGCAAGCUGCGCCUCAAGCCAUUAGGUUGAGGGCACGUCUGCCUGGGCGUCACAUAUCGUUGCCUGAUGCCAGUUUCCUCGUGAUGGGUGACUGUGCAGGGCGAAUGAUGGCUUCCCGUGAGCAUUGUUGCCUCAUGGUUGGUUGAAAAUUGAGUCCUUGGUAGGGAGCGCCGUGAUAGAUGGUGGUUGAGUGACGAACGAGACCCAAUCAUGUGAGACCCCUACCGAAUUUGGCCUUCAUGACCCACAUGCGUCUUUGGAACGCUCAUGACGAGACCUCAGGUCAGGCGGGGCUACCCGCUGAGUUUAAGCAUAUCAAUAAGCGGAGGA